GAUGAACGUUGGCGGCGUGCCUAACACAUGCAAGUCGAACGCUAGUAGCAAUAUUAGAGUGGCGCACGGGUGAGUAACACGUAGCUUAUCUACCUCCCAGCGCGGGAUAACGGUUCGAAAGAACUGCUAAUACCGCAUAAGCUCACGAGCUAUAGAGGCUGGUGAGAAAAGGCUUAGGUCACUGGGAGCGGGGGCUGCGGCCCAUCAGCUAGUUGGUGAGGAACGGCUUACCAAGGCGACGACGGGUAGGGGACCUGAGAGGGUGACCCCCNCCAC
rnacentral:rRNA from 1 species